rnacentral:rRNA from 1 species
GGUGCCUACUCGAUAGGCUCCGUCCAGUCCCGCUCUCUACCUUGCCUACUGCACCGUUUUGUUGCUUCCUGGCGGCGGCGCCCCCGUCGCCAGGGCCUUUUGAAAGCCAAGUAUAAGCAUUGAAACUUCUGACAUACACUAAAUCGUACAACUUUCAACAAUGGAUCUCUUGGUUCUGGCAUCGAUGAAGAACGCAGCGAAAUGCGAUAAGUAGUGUGAAUUGCAGAAUUCAGUGAAUCAUCGAAUCUUUGAACGCACAUUGCGCCCCUUGGUAUUCCAUGGGGCAUGCCUGUUCGAGCGUCAUCUAAACCCUCAAGCCCCAUGGCUUGGUGUUGGGUGUCUGUCCCUGCUCCCCGCGCGGACUCGCCCCAAAUGCAUUGGCAGCGGCCUCCACGCUUCUCGCGCAGCACAUUGCGCAGCGGAGCACGGCUAGGCGCGCGUCCAGCAAGCAACCCCCCCAGUUUGACCUCGGAUCAGGUAGGGAUACCCGCUGAACUUAAGCAUAUCAAUAGCCCCGGAGGGAA